rnacentral:lncRNA from 1 species
AAACAGCGUGCACACGCCUCGUGGCUCAGUCGCACUGGGACUUUUGGAGAGGGUGGAAGGGUAGAUUGGUGCAGGCAGGCAGGAAACAUUGCUGCGUCACAGCAUGGCUGUGUGAAGACCAGGAGAGGAGAAAAGGUGGGGUGGUCUGUGGCUGAGUUUGGUGGUGUGGGUCUUAGGUCUUUCUAUUUCUUUUGUUGUUGCAAACUUGCAAAGGGCUGUCCUGUGGGUGUUUUUCCUGUUCAAAAUACAACUCCUUCGGGGAAAAUAAAAGCUUGCCUUUGUGCCUUGCCUUCCCCUGGGCUACGGGUGUGUGUGUGUCUGCCAGGAACGCUUUGGGAAAGAGUUGCAUAUCCCAUCCUGUUCAAAAUACAACUCCUUUUGGGGAAAGAAAAGGUUCCCUUUGUGCCUUGCCUUGUGUGUGUGUCUGCCAGGAACGCUUUGGGAAAGAGUUGCAUAUCCCAUCCUGUUCAAAAUACAACUCCUUUUGGGGAAAGAAAAGGUUCCCUUUGUGCCUUGCCUUGUGUGUGUGUCUGCCAGGAACGCUUUGGGAAAGAGUUGCAUAUCCCAUCCUGUUCAAAAUACAACUCCUUUUGGGGAAAGAAAAGGUUCCCUUUGUGCCUUGCCUUGUGUGUGUGUCUGCCAGGAACGCUUUGGGAAAGAGUUGCAUAUCCCAUCCUGUUCAAAAUACAACUCCUUUCGGGGAAAAUAAAAGCUUGCCUUUGUGCCUUGCCUGGUGUGUGUGUCUGCCAGGAACGCUUUGGGAAAGAGUUGCAUAUCCCAUCCUGUUCAAAAUACAACUCCUUCGGGGAAAAUAUAAAAGCUUGCCUUUGUGCCUUGCCUUCCCCUGGGCUACGGGUGUGUGUGUGUCUGCCAGGAACGCUUUGGGAAAGAGUUGCAUAUCCCAUCCUGUUCAAAAUACAACUCCUUUUGGGGAAAGAAAAGGUUCCCUUUGUGCCUUGCCUUGUGUGUGUGUCUGCCAGGAACGCUUUGGGAAAGAGUUGCAUAUCCCAUCCUGUUCAAAAUACAACUCCUUUCGGGGAAAAUAAAAGCUUGCCUUUGUGCCUUGCCUGGUGUGUGUGUCUGCCAGGAACGCUUUGGGAAAGAGUUGCA